UAAUAAUUAGCAGAAAUUAGUGUGACUGAAGAAUAAGGAUACCGAUUCACAGAUCAAAUCCAAAAACCGAACCAAUAAAGCAGCAAAAUCACAAAGGCAUCAAAGCAUGAAAAUGUUCAACUAAAACCCCCAACAAUUGAUAGGAAAAAGAUAAUCGACAUGUAGUGUAAAUCACGAUUUACCCUUUGUUCAUACCGCUGUUGCUCGAUAUUAUGAUCUACAUAAUUCAGUUCCUCUUCAUCUCCUUCAAAUUUGGAACCUUAGUCCAUUGGUUUGACAUUCAACUUGUGGUCGUAAUUUUUGCAGAUUCUCAAAAUUUCCCAAGAGCAAAUUGGGAAGGGAGCGUGGAAGAGAUUUCAAAAUUGAGUUAUGCUUUUGUGGGGCCAGGGCCUAUGUGAGCUCAUUCGUUUCGC
rnacentral:lncRNA from 1 species